UACGGGGGGGGCAAGCGUUGUUCGGAAUUACUGGGCGUAAAGGGCUCGUAGGCGGCCAACUAAGUCGGAUGUGAAAUCCCCAGGCUCAACUUGGGAACUGCAUCCGAUACUGGAUGGCUUGAAUUCGGGAGAGGGAUGCAGAAUUCCAGGUGUAGCGGUGAAAUGCGUAGAUAUCUGGAGGGAUACCGGUGGCGAAGGCGGCAUCCUGGACCGACAUUGACGCUGAGGAGCGAAAGCUAGGGGAGCAAACGGG
rnacentral:rRNA from 1 species